CGGCUUGUCCGUCGGGUGUGAAAGCCCGGGGCUUAACCCCGGGUCUGCAUCCGAUACGGGCAGGCUAGAGUGUGGUAGGGGAGAUCGGAAUUCCUGGUGUAGCGGUGAAAUGCGCAGAUAUCAGGAGGAACACCGGUGGCGAAGGCGGAUCUCUGGGCCAUUACUGACGCUGAGGAGCGAAAGCGUGGGGAGCGAACAGGAUUAGAUACCCUGGUAGUCCACGCCGUAAACGUUGGGAACUAGGUGUUGGCGACAUUCCACGUCGUCGGUGC
rnacentral:rRNA from 1 species